UGCCGGGUAGUGUAGCGGUAGCACAAGGGACUUUGGAUCCCUCGGCCCAGGUUCGAAUCCUGGCCCGGCAGCCA
rnacentral:tRNA from 1 species